rnacentral:lncRNA from 1 species
GGCAAUGGUGGUGUCACGCCCGGACGGUCUCGUGUGGGGGCAUCAGGGCAAUGCGGGUCGGACGAGCUGGAUGUCCGAGGGGCUUUCAUAUUCGAGGGGUUGUCCAGACUAUAUGCACGUUCUUGAUCCCUGCGGUGGAGCCAAGUGGCUAUCAGAGGACCAGCAUUGGACCCCCGCCGGCAUCUUACGUGGGUUGGCGCGGGCUCUGGUGCCUUUGCCGUGCCAACCUCGGAUGGGUCGGAGCAUGGCUGGAGCUCUGCCACGACAAGGCGCCAUCAUCUGGUCCGGUGCCCGGACGAAGAUAAAAGCAUGCGGGGACUCUGGCAAAGGCACAUGCAAA